rnacentral:rRNA from 1 species
CGCAAGCCUGACGGAGCAAGACCGCGUGGGGGAGGAAAGCCUUUGGGUUGUAAACCCCUUUUCUCAGGGAAGAAGAAAGUGACGGUACCUGAGGAAUCAGCCUCGGCUAACUCCGUGCCAGCAGCCGCGGUAAUACGGAGGAGGCAAGCGUUAUCCAGAAUGAUUGGGCGUAAAGCGUCCGCAGGUGGCAAUGUAAGUCUGCUGUCAAAACCCAGGGCUCAACUCUGGUCAGGCAGUGGAAACUGAAUAGCUAGAGUGCGGUAGGGGCAGAGGGAAUUCCCGGUGUAGCGGUGAAAAGCGUAGAGAUCGGGAAGAACACCGGUGGCGAAAGCGCUCUACUGGGCCACAACUGACGCUGAGGGACGAAAGCUAGGGGAGCG